UACAGAGGUGGCAAGCGUUGUUCGGAAUUACUGGGCGUAAAGGGCGCGUAGGCGGCCAUCUAAGUCAGACGUGAAAUCCCCCGGCUUAACCUGGGAACUGCGUCUGAUACUGGAAGGCUUGAGUUUGGGAGAGGGAUGCAGAAUUCCAGGUGUAGCGGUGAAAUGCGUAGAUAUCUGGAGGAAUACCGGUGGCGAAGGCGGCAUCCUGGACUAACACUGACGCUGAGGCGCGAAAGCUAGGGGAGCAAACGGG
rnacentral:rRNA from 1 species